AGCGAACGCUGGCGGCAGGCCUAACACAUGCAAGUCGAACGAAGUCUUCGGACUUAGUGGCGGACGGGUGAGUAACACGUGGGAACGUGCCUUUAGGUUCGGAAUAACUCAGGGAAACUUGUGCUAAUACCGAAUGUGCCCUUCGGGGGAAAGAUUUAUCGCCUUUAGAGCGGCCCGCGUCUGAUUAGCUAGUUGGUGGGGUAAUGGCCCACCAAGGCUACGAUCAGUAGCUGGUCUGAGAGGAUGACCAGCCACAUUGGGACUGAGACACGGCCCAAACUCCUACGGGAGGCAGCAGUGGGGAAUCUUGCGCAAUGGGCGAAAGCCUGACGCAGCCAUGCCGCGUGGAUGUUGAAGGUCUUAGGAUUGUAAAAUCCUUUCACCGGUGAAGAUAAUGACUGUAGCCGGAGAAGAAGCCCCGGCUAACUUCGUGCCAGCCGCCGCUGUAAUAC
rnacentral:rRNA from 1 species